UGCUUUCUGACAUGUAACAGUCUCAGACUCUCCGUAAUGAUCUGCAAGGCUACAGGAAGUGAGAUGAUGGGAGAGCCAGCAAGACAGUCUUGCAUCCCAAGAGAACUACAGAAAUGCGGUGGGCACAACUUGAGUCUUAAAUUCCAGACACAUCCAACAGGGGGUCUCCGACCCAUUGAACAUUGUGUUCCCAUCAAAACCAACACGAACUCCAUGCAGUAAGAUGGGAUUUUAAAGCCCCAGGACUGCACCAAAUACUGGUCAAGAUUCUCAAGAUGGAAGUUAAACUCACAUCUACUUAGAGACUCUAAAUUUCUUCAGAUGAUUGAAACAUCCAUUACCAGCUUCUGGAAGGCAAAUACAAAUACUGGCUCCUCCACAACAACUUUAUGGGAAGCACUGAAGGCUACCUUAAGAGAACACUGCAUACAAUUUGCAUCUGAAGAGAAAAAAGAAAGCAAUAAAUUACUUAAUUCUUUAGCAGAGGAGGUUGCCAAGUUUGGGGGGAAGGAAACUUGAAGAAGACCCUCAAAGUAAUGAGCUGCUGCAUUCUCUCAUUACCUCAAAAUACAAAUACAAUGAAUACAUCCACCCAUGCUUAAUUCAUGCUUAGCAGAAUUAAACAGAGGCAUUAUAUGGGAGUGGGGAGGGAAUAAAGUGAGGAAAAUUUAAAUGGCUUCAUCCAAGAACACCAUAGCCUCUUUGCUACAGGACAAUGGUCUUUCUGCAUUAGAAUCUGAUAAAAUUAACAGACCAUUUAAAAAUGUUUAGGAAUCCCUUAACGCAUCUCAUGGUGAGCUCAGUUCUAAUCUAUUAGACCAGUUCAUGGAGGGAUUAUCCUAAAUACACUGUUGCUACCUCAGACAGAUUUUAUGGAGGAACAUCUCUCUUUACUAGAAGGUAAGCAGGCAAUUGACUCACUCAAUUCAGUCAAAGCAUCUGGGUGUUGUGGAGCUCCAGCAGAAUUAUAUAGGACAUUUAUUAAUCCCUUAGUUGGGAUACUGUCGAAAGGCUAUAAUGAAAUAUUUACAAAAGAAAAAAAGACAAGGACGAUCUUCAUAAUGGUGACUACUGUCCCCAUCUCUCUGUUGAGCACAGAUAAUAAAGUUCUGACAAAGAUUCUUGCUUCCCACCUAAACAACAUUGCCCCGUCAAUCAUCCAGGCAGACCAGGUGGGUUUCAUAUAUGACAUUAGCCAUGGACAACACUCAAAAGAUCUUCCACAUAAUCCAUCAGGCACAAACAACCGAUGCUCCACCUGCUAUCCUUUCAUUAGCUGCCGAAAAGGCCUUAGAUCAAGUGGAAUGGCCAUACCUACAAGCAAUCCUGAGAAAAUUAGGAUUUGAACCUAAAUUUCUGACCUAGAGUGAUGAUAUUUACAAAUCACCCCCUGCCUCUGUUCUGACAAAUGGUGUCCUCUCCUCCACUUUUCAGUUAAACUGAUGAGUGUGUCAGGGGUGCCCUCUAUUGCUUCUAUUAUUUGACAUAUAUGCUGCUAGUAGUUGCAUGGCUAUCAGACAGACACCAUCCACUGAAGGAAUUACCAUCUGGGAUAAAGAGUACAAGAUUAGUCUAUAUACAGAAGAUAUCCUGCUUAUGUUAAAAACAAACAAACAAAACCUUUCCUCUUCCAUUCCACCACUACUAUCUGCAGCAAACUACUUCGGUGAGCUAUCAGAAUUUCAGAUAAACUGGAACAAGUCUCAAGUGAUGGAUAUUUCUCGUAGUCUAAAUCCAUCUCAGAUACAAUCAACCAUUCUCCUUACAUUGGUGCAAAGAAAUAAAUUACCUAGGCAUCAGGAUAUGCUCUGAUUUAACAAAAAUAGUAUCUGCAAACAUGGAUGCCAUACUUCGAGAACUGACAAAAGGUUGCUCACUAUCAAUAUAUUUUAUUGAGAAAGGUAGACACUAUUAAAAUGAAUGUAGGAGCAAGAUGUAGGAGCAACUUAAUUCCAUUUACAUUUCCUUCUUCAACUUUUAUAAGAAUAAAUAGAGUUGUACAAUUCUUAUGGGUAUCCCACAAGAUACUUAAUUAAUCAGGGUCAAUUGAGGGACAUGGUGUGGGAUUACCUGAUCUGUGUUUAUAUCAUCUGUCUUUUCAAUUACGAUUUUUAAUAAAAUGGUUCUGUCAUACCAACUUUUCCCAAGCCCCGUGGCUGGAGACUUUCUCUCUGCACUUCUAUUUUUAAAAUGGUUGUCUGCACCUUUCAGAAAAAACACAAUAUGUACCUCCUCUUGGAGCGUUCUUCAGAAAAUCAAGUCCAUUACUACUUCUGAUCUCACCAACUUUUCUUCCAUUCCAAUCUACUAUAAUCCAAGAUUUAAACUUGCUAAUAGCUUGAAAUUCAAAUCCAAGAGCAUAUUAACCAUAAAAGAUAUUGUUGAAUGGACAAUUCAAGCCUCCUUCACAUAUCUUUGUGAUAACUAUUAGCUACCAACACAGCAAGGUCAUUUCUAACCUUAGAUUCAGAUUUAGAAAUGAGUUGGGGAAUGGUUGGCAGGCCAUAAACAACACGCCACUUGAAAUGCACCUUAAAAAGUAUGUUAAUCAAAAACAUUUUGUGGGUAACAUACAAAUGGCUGAACCCCUUUAUUUGUUCUAUUGACUGUACCAUAAUGGGAGAAGGAGCUAAACUUCUCCAUUUCCUCGGACAGAUAGGAAAAUGUAUGCAGAACAUCCAGUUCUUUGUUUUUGUUUCUCUUUCAGAACAAAAAUCUACAUAGAUAUUAUUGGACUCCUCAGCGAUUGCAUAAGACUGGACUUGCCGCACAUAGUAUGUGUUGGAAAUAUGACCGCUCCAAUGCAAACCUGUCUCGUAUAGUCUUUGAAUGUCAAAGUAUAUCAAUGUUUUCAUGUGGUGUUCUAUCCAAGACAAUUAGGAAAGGGGUUUUCCCUAUGUCAAACCUCUGUGUUUUGGACAUUCAAGAUCUAUCCUGUUCAAGUAAUGCAAGGAACUGGAUUACUGCAGCACAUAUAAUGGCCAAAAAGUCAUUUUGCGAAAAUGAAAUGUGCUCUUUCCCCCUACAUUCUUUGAUU